rnacentral:lncRNA from 1 species
UCCCAUCAAUGUUUAGAAACUGCUUUUUUUCAACACUAAUGAAAUAAAUAAAGAUAAUAGAAAUUAAGAAGAAAACAAAAGUAAGCUUCUUUUAUGGUGUCGCAAAGUACACGCAGUGCAAGUAACAAUAUUUGAUUUCAAAGGCUCCUUAGUAGAACAAAUAAUCAUUACUGUCAUAGCCUACACAAACACCAUGAAAAUUCACCAUGUAAUAACAAUUAUUUGUUAGCACUGCAAAACUCAUACGACACAACUCCAGAAUAUAACAUAGAAGUAUUUUAAAAUACCUCACUUACAUAUCGGUUUCAAAAUGCUUCCUCAAUGCCAUUCUCGAAUCAAAAAGUGGUGUUAAGGCGGAGAGUAACAAGUUUGGUGUGGUGGUGAGUAGAGUCUUGUUUUAUGUUGUUGCCAUAAGAAAAAAAAUAGAAAGAAAAUAGUAGCAGAUCCUUUUCUUUGUGAAAGAAAGAUUUGUAUAUGUUGUGUAUGAGGUGAAGAAAAUUGAUGAGGAAGGGUGUAUUAACGUGGGAUUCAUGAGGAAGAAAUGUAUUUCACCUCCAUCACUUUGCAAGAAGCUCCUUCAUUUCAACCUUUUUUUAGUUUUUUGUUUGUUUGAAUGUUUAACAGAGAAAAGGAAAAGGGUAAGCGCCGUUUGGCUUUUGUGUAUUGGAU